rnacentral:rRNA from 1 species
UUGAACGCUGGCGGCAUGCCUUACACAUGCAAGUCGAACGGCAGCACGGGUGCUUGCCCCUGGUGGCGAGUGGCGAACGGGUGAGUAAUACAUCGGAACAUGUCCUGUAGUGGGGGAUAGCCCGGCGAAAGCCGGAUUAAUACCGCAUACGAUCUACGGAUGAAAGCGGGGGACCUUCGGGCCUCGCGCUAUAGGGUUGGCCGAUGGCUGAUUAGCUAGUUGGUGGGGUAAAGGCCUACCAAGGCGACGAUCAGUAGAUGGUCUGAGAGGACGACCAGCCACACUGGGACUGAGACACGGCCCAGACUCCUACGGGAGGCAGCAGUGGGGAAUUUUGGACAAUGGGCGAAAGCCUGAUCCAGCAAUGCCGCGUGUGUGAAGAAGGCCUUCGGGUUGUAAAGCACUUUUGUCCGGAAAGAAAUCCUUGGCUCUAAUACAGUCGGGGGAUGACGGUACCGGAAGAAUAAGCACCGGCUAACUACGUG